rnacentral:lncRNA from 1 species
GGCUUGCCUCCUUCAAGGAUACAUGGAGUGCAAAAUUAACAGAUUAAACUUUAUGAUGUGCCCUGUAGCAUGUUUUAGUCUACUGAUUUGUGGAUUUUAUAAACAACAAGUUUGUAUGAUAGAAAAAAGUUGAUGUACAAAAAUGUGAUUGAUUGAUUGGAAGUGUUUAAGGGAGCUACCAUUUGAUUUUUAUGGGGGGGCUAGGAUGAAAAAUUUGUCCUGCAUUUUUUUUUUUUUAGUCCUUAUUUCCUGACCCUUUUUUUCACCUAAAUGUCGUCCUGACUUUUUUUUUGCAGUUCUCAUCUGCUUUUUUUUUAACUCAAACUCCUGUCCUGCCUAUUUUUUUCAAAUUUCAUCCUAGCCCCCCCCUAUAAAAAUCAAAUGGUAGCUCCCUAAAGCCACUUCAGCACUAUGGCAAAUGGUGGUCAGGUGGUGAUCUACUUUUUUUGUUGGAAGCCAGAGUGCCCUUGAAGAACCAACGACCUUGAGCAGGAUAACUGACAAUGCUAGUAAUAUAGCACUAAAAAAAUAACAGUCUGUCCACACUACAUAGAAAUCUAAAGACUAAGCGAAAUGAACCUCACUAAAAAAACAUAAACCUGGCUUCCUCAGCUUAAAAUCUGUAAUAUACAAAUUGCAGCUUUAUUAAAUAAGUCUAUCAUCCUUCCUUGGUACAAUUUACUGCAAUACAACAUGUGAUUUUAAUAACCACAUACAUGUAUUUCCUGCCAUGCUGCUGCCAGUCAAACACUCAAGUAUGAUAUACAUGUUUAAACUUGAAUUAAAAUUGAGAAUGGAAAUGGGGAAUGUGCCAAAGAGACAACAACCCGACCAUAGAGCACACAACAGCAGAAGGUCACCAACAGGUCUUCAAUGCAACGAGAAAUUCUCGCACCCGGAGUUGAAUUGAAUACAUGGAAUGCAAAAACACAGGUUUAUAUAGAUUAAAAUUUACACCUUGCUUGUUUAGAAUAGUUUACCACAAGUUUGGUUGGUUUUUUUUUAAAACAGGAAUUCAAUCAAAUCAAAAUGACAAGAUUUAUACAAUUUACCAAGGCCAUUAUUGUCGUAAAGCAUAUAAUAUAAA